UACAGAGGUCUCAAGCGUUGUUCGGAUUCAUUGGGCGUAAAGGGCGCGUAGGCGGUCAGCACAAGUCAGUUGUGAAAUCUCCGGGCUUAACUCGGAAAGGUCAACUGAUACUGUGCGACUAGAGUGCAGAAGGGGCAACUGGAAUUCUCGGUGUAGCGGUGAAAUGCGUAGAGAUCGGGAAGAACACCAACGGCGAAAGCACUCUGCUGGGCCGAAACUGACACUGAGAGACGAAAGCUAGGGGAGCAAAUGGG
rnacentral:rRNA from 1 species